rnacentral:rRNA from 1 species
CCUACGGGGAGCAGCAGUGAGGGAUAUUGGUCAAUGGGGGAAACCCUGAACCAGCAACGCCGCGUGAGGGAAGACGGUUUUCGGAUUGGAAACCUCUGUCCUCUGUGAAGAUAAUGACGGUAGCAGAGGAGGAAGCUCCGGCUAACUACGUGACAGCAGCCGCGGUAAUACGUAGGGAGCGAGCGUUGUCCGGAUUUACUGGGUGUAAAGGGUGCGUAGGCGGGUAAGCAAGUCAGGAGUGAAAUCCAUGGGCUUAACCCAUGAACUGCUGUUGAAACUGGUUAUCUUGAGUGAGGUAGAGGUAGGCGGAAUGCGCGGUGUAGCGGUGAAAUGCGUAGAGAUCGCGAAGAACACCGAUGGCGAAGGCAGCAUACUGGGGUUGAACUGACGCUGAGGCACGAAAGCGUGGGUAGCGAACAGGAUUAGAUACCCGGGUAGUC